rnacentral:rRNA from 1 species
GCUUGACUGUAUCCUGGAAAUUGGGUUUUCGGUUUUUUUCUUGCGCAGUCUAGGUGGGAGGCUAUGAAAGAUUUCCUUUCCGGGGAAAUUAGAGCCAUCAGUGAGAAGACCACUCUGGAAGAACUAAAAUUUCUAAUGGCGUUCCUUGAAUCAGGACGCUUGAACAUUUUUUCAGGUGGGCAGUUUUUUCUGGGGCGGAAGCCUCAUAAAAGCGUAACUGAGGCGCGCAAAGGUUCCCUCAGUCUGGAUGGAAAUCAGACAUUGAGUGUAAAGGCAGAAGGGAGCUUGAUUGCAAGACCAACAAGUCGAGCAGGGGCGAAAGCCGGCCUUAGUGAUCCGACGGUGCCGAGUGGAAGGGCCGUCGCUCAACGGAUAAAAGUUACUCUAGGAUAACAGCUG